rnacentral:rRNA from 1 species
AUUGAACGCUGGCGGCAGGCCUAACACAUGCAAGUCGAACGAGUGGCGGACGGGUGAGUAAUGUCUGGGAAACUGCCCGAUGGAGGGGGAUAACUACUGGAAACAGUAGCUAAUACCGCAUACCAUCGGAUGUGCCCAGAUGGGCUUAGCUAGUGGGUGGGGUAACGGCUAACCUAUGCGACGAGCCCUAGCUGGUCUGAGAGGAUGACCAGCACGACUGGAACUGAGACCCUGUCCAGACUCCUACGGAAGGAAGCAGGGGGGAAUAGUGCACAAUGGGGGCAAGCCUGAUGCAGCCAUGCCGCGUGUAUGAAGAAGGCCUUCGGGUUGUAAAGUACUUUCAGCGAGGAGGCGUUACUCGCAGAAGAAGCACCGGCUAACUCCGUGCCAGCAGCCGCGGUAAUAC